rnacentral:rRNA from 1 species
UGCAGUCGAGCGGACAGAUGGGAGCUUGCUCCCUGAUGUUAGCGGCGGACGGGUGAGUAACACGUGGGUAACCUGCCUGUAAGACUGGGAUAACUCCGGGAAACCGGGGCUAAUACCGGAUGCUUGUUUGAACCGCAUGGUUCAAAUAUAAAAGGUGGCUUUUAGCUACCACUUACAGAUGGACCCGCGGCGCAGUAGCUAGUUGGUGAGGUAACGGCUCACCAAGGCAACGAUGCGUAGCCGACCUGAGAGGGUGAUCGGCCACACUGGGACUGAGACACGGCCCAGACUCCUACGGGAGGCAGCAGUAGGGAAUCUUCCGCAAUGGACGAAAGUCUGACGGAGCAACGCCGCGUGAGUGAUGAAGGUUUUCGGAUCGUAAAACUCUGUUGUUAGGGAAGAACAAGUACCGUUCGAAUAGGGCGGUACCUUGACGGUACCUAACCAGAAAGCCACGGCUAACUACGUGCCAGCAGCCGCGGUAAUACGUAGGUGGCAAGCGUUGUCCGGAAUUAUUGGGCGUAAAGCGCGCGCAGGCGGUUUCUUAAGUCUGAUGUGAAAGCCCCCGGCUCAACCGGGGAGGGUCAUUGGAAACUGGGGAACUUGAGUGCAGAAAAGGAGAGUGGAAUUCCACGUGUAGCGGUGAAAUGCGUAGAGAUGUGGAGGAACACCAGUGGCGAAGGCGACUCUCUGGUCUGUAACUGACGCUAAAGCGCGAAAGCGUGGGGAGCGAACAGGAUUAGAUACCCUGGUAGUCCACGCCGUAAACGAUGAGUGCUAAGUGUUAGAAGGUUUCCGCCCUUUAUUGCUGCAGCAAACGCAUUAAGCACUCCGCCUGGGGAAUACGGUCGCAAGACUGAAACUCAAAGGAAUUGACGGGGGCCCGCACAACGGUGGAGCAUGUGGUUUAAUUCGAAGCAACGCGAAGAACCUUACCAGGUCUUGACAUCCUCUGACAACCUAGAGAUAGGGCUUCCCCUUCCG